rnacentral:rRNA from 1 species
GACGAACGCUGGCGGCGUGCUUAACACAUGCAAGUCGAAUGAUGAACCCGGAGCUUGCUCCGGUGGAUUAGUGGCGAACGGGUGAGUAACACGUGAGUAACCUGCCCUUGACUCUGGGAUAACUGCGGGAAACCGUAGCUAAUACCGGAUACGACCCUCGGCGGCAUCGCCAGGGGGUGGAAAGAAUUUCGGUCAAGGAUGGACUCGCGGCCUAUCAGCUAGUUGGUGAGGUAACGGCUCACCAAGGCGACGACGGGUAGCCGGCCUGAGAGGGUGAACGGCCACACUGGGACUGAGACACGGCCCAGACUCCUACGGGAGGCAGCAGUGGGGAAUAUUGCACAAUGGGCGCAAGCCUGAUGCAGCAACGCCGCGUGAGGGAUGACGGCCUUCGGGUUGUAAACCUCUUUUAGUAGGGAAGAAGCGAAAGUGACGGUACCUGCAGAAAAAGCACCGGCUAACUACGUGCCAGCCGCCGCAGUAA